rnacentral:piRNA from 1 species
GUGAGGCGACUGCGGGCAGGUAAGA